CACAGGUAGUAAUUGGUCUGACAUCUUUUCAACUUUUAUUUCAUUGAAAUAAUGGUUAGCUGUCUGUUGUUAGCAUUUAAUUUGCCAAUACUUGGCCUUCCUCAUGGUUCCUCGUAGAGCUAUGUAAAGUUAAUUGGUUUGAGAAGUGAUAUGUUGGCAAAAAUGUUUUAAAAGUUGUUUCUUUAAGACAGAUGGCACUUAAAUCCUUUGGUUCUGCAUCCUUUUAUAAUAUUCAUGUGCAAGAGAAACUUCGCCCCAACCUUCCCAUCCUCCGAUAGGAAAAGAAAAAACAAAGAAUGAGGAGAAGGGGUAAAACAAGACUCAUGCUCUAAAGGGGUAAAAGGAAGGGGAAGCUUAACUAAUAUCAACUGUUUUAGUCUUCAGUAAUAUGUUUUGAACUUAUAUGGUACUGCACUGCAAAAAGUUGAGCAGGUCUAGAUCAUCAUGGAACGGUUCAAAUGGUGGUUCAUUUCGGACAAGUUUUCAGGAGGAAGCAUGGAAAAGAUAUAAUCGCCGAAUGCGGGAAGAGUAUGAAGAAGAGAUGGAAAGAGUGGUGAGAUUCUUUUUUACAAGAGUUUACUCUUUCUCCUGAUUGAAAUUUUAAUUUAAGAUUUUAUCUGCAAUGUUCAAAUCCUAUCAGUUUAUGCCAUUCAUAAAGAAUGUUGAUGUUUCAAUUUCUUUUAGUUUAGGAAACAUGAAGGUGUUUGGUAGGUGCGUGGAUAUGUG
rnacentral:lncRNA from 1 species